rnacentral:rRNA from 1 species
UAAAGAGUUAUAAAGAAAACUCCCAAACCCAUGUGAACAUACCUUACGUUGCCUCGGCAGGUCGCGCCUGCCCUGUAGUCCCCUACCCUGUAGGGGCUACCCGGUAGUCGCGGGUGCUCCUGCCGAUGGCCCAAGAAACACUCUGCUCUCUAUAGAAUUCUGAACUUAUAACUUAAUACGUUAAAACUUUCAACAACGGAUCUCUUGGUUCUGGCAUCGAUGAAGAACGCAGCGAAAUGCGAUAAGUAAUGUGAAUUGCAGAAUUCAGUGAAUCAUCGAAUCUUUGAACGCAUAUUGCGCCCAUUAGUAUUCUAGUGGGCAUGCCUGUUCGAGCGUCAUUUCAACCCUUAAGCCCCUGUUGCUUAGCGUUGGGAGCCUACAGUUCUGCUGUAGCUUCUCAAAGUUAGUGGCGGAGUCGGUUCACACUCUAGACGUAGUAAAUUUUAUCUCGUCUGCAGUUGCGCCGGCCCCUUGCCAUAAAACCCCCUAAUUUUUUAAAAAGGUUGACCUCGGAUCAGGUAGGAAUACC